UACAGAGGCCUCGAGCGUUAGGCGGAAUCACUGGGCUUAAAGCGUGUGUAGGCGGACUUCUAAGUACCUUGUGAAAUCCCACGGCUCACCCGUGGAACUGCUUGGUAUACUGGUUGUCUUGAGCCACUUAGGGGCUACCGGAACAAUUGGUGGAGCGGUGAAAUGCGUAGAUAUCAGGAGGAACACCAAUUGCGAAGGCAGCUCGCUGGGACGUUACUGACGCUGAGACGCGAGAGCGUGGGGAGCAAACAGG
rnacentral:rRNA from 1 species